GAUCAUGGCUCAGGACGAACGCUGGCGGCGCGCCUAACACAUGCAAGUCGAACGAGAGAUGAGGAGCUUGCUCUUCAAAUCGAGUGGCGAACGGGUGAGUAACGCGUGAGGAGCCUGCCUCAAAAGAGGGGGACAACAGUUGGAAACGACUGCUAAUACCGCAUAAGCCCACGGCUCGGCAUCGAGCAGAGGGAAAAGGAAGCGAUCCGCUUUGUAGAUGGCCUCGCGUCCG
rnacentral:rRNA from 1 species